UAAUACGUAGGUUGCAAGCGUUAUCCGGAAUUAUUGGGCGUAAAGCGUACGCAGGCGGUUUGUUAAGUUGGAAGUCAAAGCUAUGAGCUCAACUCAUAACAGGUUUCCAAUACUGGCAAGCUGGAGAUAGGCAGAGGAAAGUGGAAUUCUGUAUGUAGGGGUAAUAUCCGUAGAUAUACAGAGGAACACCAAAAGCGAAGGCAGCUUUCUGGGCCUUUUCUGACGCUCAUGUACGAAAGCGUGGGGAGCAAACGGGAUUAGAUACCCCGGUAGUCCACGCCCUAAACGAUGAAUACUAGGUGUUGGGGGUCUCGACCCCUUCAGCGCCGAAGCUAACGCAUUAAGUAUUCCGCCUGGGUAGUACGAUCGCAAGAUUA
rnacentral:rRNA from 1 species